rnacentral:rRNA from 1 species
CACGUAGGGCGCAAGCGUUGUCCGGAAUUAUUGGGCGUAAAGAGCUCGUAGGCGGCCAGGUAGGUCUGCUGUGAAAACUCGAGGCUCAACCUCGAGACGUCGGCGGAAACCAUCUGGCUAGAGUCCGGAAGAGGAGAGUGGAAUUCCUGGUGUAGCGGUGAAAUGCGCAGAUAUCAGGAAGAACACCCGUGGCGAAGGCGGCUCUCUGGGACGGUACUGACGCUGAGACGCGAAAGCGUGGGGAGCGAACAGG